rnacentral:rRNA from 1 species
GAUGAACGCUGGCGGCGUGCCUAAUACAUGCAAGUCGAGCGAACAGACGAGGAGCUUGCUCCUCUGACGUUAGCGGCGGACGGGUGAGUAACACGUGGAUAACCUACCUAUAAGACUGGGAUAACUUCGGGAAACCGGAGCUAAUACCGGAUAAUAUAUUGAACCGCAUGGUUCAAUAGUGAAAGACGGUUUUGCUGUCACUUAUAGAUGGAUCCGCGCCGCAUUAGCUAGUUGGGAAGGUAACGGCUUACCAAGGCAACGAUGCGUAGCCGACCUGAGAGGGGGAUAGGCCACCCUGGAAAUGAGACACGGUCCAGACUCCUAAGGGAGGCAGCAGUAGGGAAUCUUCCGCAAUGGGCGAAAGCCUGACGGAGCAACGGCGCGUGAGUGAUGAAGGUCUUCGGAUCGUAAAACUCUGUUAUUAGGGAAGAACAAAUGUGUAAGUAACUAUGCACGUCUUGACGGUACCUAAUCAGAAAGCCACGGCUAACUACGUG